GACGAACGCUGGCGGCGUGCCUAAUACAUGCAAGUAGAACGCUGAAGAGAGGAGCUUGCUCUUCUUGGAUGAGUUGCGAACGGGUGAGUAACGCGUAGGUAACCUGCCUUGUAGCGGGGGAUAACUAUUGGAAACGAUAGCUAAUACCGCAUAACAAUGGAUGACACAUGUCAUUUAUUUGAAAGGGGCAAUUGCUCCACUACAAGAUGGACCUGCGUUGUAUUAGCUAGUAGGUGAGGUAAUGGCUCACCUAGGCGACGAUACAUAGCCGACCUGAGAGGGUGAUCGGCCACACUGGGACUGAGACACGGCCCAGACUCCUACGGGAGGCGGCAGUAGGGAAUCUUCGGCAAUGGGGGCAACCCUGACCGAGCAACGCCGCGUGAGUGAAGAAGGUUUUCGGAUCGUAAAGCUCUGUUGUAAGUCAAGAACGGGUGUGAGAGUGGAAAGUUCACACUGUGACGGUAGCUUACCAGAAAGAGACGGCUAACUACGUG
rnacentral:rRNA from 1 species